GACGAACGCUGGCGGCGUGCUUAACACAUGCAAGUCGAACGGAAAGGCCCUGCUUUUGUGGGGUGCUCGAGUGGCGAACGGGUGAGUAACACGUGAGUAACCUGCCCUUGACUUUGGGAUAACUUCACGAAACUGGGGCUAAUACCGGAUAGGAGCUCCUGCUGCAUGGUGGGGGUUGGAAAGUUUCGGCGGUUGGGGAUGGACUAGCGGCUUAUCAGCUUGUUGGUGGGGUAGUGGCUUACCAAGGCUUUGACGGGUAGCCGGCAUGAGAGGGUGACCGGCCACAAUAGGACUGAGAUACGGAGCAGACGGCAACGGGAGGCAGCAGUGGGAAGUAUUGCACAGUGAGCGGAAGCCUGAUGCGGCAACGCCGCGUUCGGGAUGACGGCCUUCGGGUUAUAAACCGCUUUCGCCUGUGACGAAGCGUGAGUGACGGUAAUGAGUAAAGAAGCACCGGCUAACUACGUG
rnacentral:rRNA from 1 species